rnacentral:rRNA from 1 species
UAGGGAAUCUUCGGCAAUGGACGAAAGUCUGACCGAGCAACGCCGCGUGAGUGAAGAAGGUUUUCGGAUCGUAAAACUCUGUUGUUAGAGAAGAACAAGGACGUUAGAAACUGAACGUCCCCUGACGGUAUCUAACCAGAAAGCCACGGCUAACUACGUGCCAGCAGCCGCGGUAAUACGUAGGUGGCAAGCGUUGUCCGGAUUUAUUGGGCGUAAAGCGAGCGCAGGCGGUUUCUUAAGUCUGAUGUGAAAGCCCCCGGCUCAACCGGGGAGGGUCAUUGGAAACUGGGAGACUUGAGUGCAGAAGAGGAGAGUGGAAUUCCAUGUGUAGCGGUGAAAUGCGUAGAUAUAUGGAGGAACACCAGUGGCGAAGGCGGCCCCCUGGACGAAGACUGACGCUCAGGUGCGAAAGCGUGGGGAGCAAACAGG